UUCAAACUAGACGAACAACUAAUUGGCUAAUGAAACACUAAAACAUUAGUAUUUCAUUAGCCAAACACUAUUGAAUUUAGUAGUUUGGCACUUAAUUCAUCAUCACUGCUAUUCAUAUUCCUCCUAGUGCCAACAUUAAGGAGGCUCUCUGCGUUCUCUACUGUUCCAUCAUUGACUUGAAAACUAUUCAUCAAGAGGGUGUUGUCAUUGUUGCUGGAGACUUCAAUCGGGCCAAUAUGAAGACAGUUCUCCCUCAUUUCCAUCAGCAAGUAGACUUUGCAACUGGAGGCUCAAAUACAUAGGAUAGAGCCUACACAAAAAUUAAGGCAGGAUUCAAGGCAGCACCACGCCCCCACCUUGGUUCAUCAGACCACCUUUCUGAGCUUUAUUGCUCAUCAGCAAAAAAAACAUUGAGAAGUAGGUGAGAGUGUGGCCUGCAGGAUUUGUGUCAGCAUUACAUUACUGUUUUGAAUGCACAGACUGAGAUGCUUUCAGGGAAGCUGCAACUGAAAACCAUCACACCAAAGUUGAGGAGCAUGCCAAAUCGGUGUCUAAGUACAUACUGAAGUGCAUGUAGGAUGUCUCUGUGACCAAGAUCAUCACCACAAGGGCAAAUAAGAAACACUGGAUGACAAAGGAUGCUGAAAGCACAAAACUUUGCUUUUAAAUGUGGGGACAGAGAGAUGCUCAGGUCAGCCAGCCAAUGGAAGUUCAGGCUUUUAAGAUAGGCUUGCUAUCUGACUAAGGAAUACAUACACAGAUCUAGUCUGCUGAUAUUAAUGAUUAUAUGCAGUCUCCUCAGAUCCAACAGGAGCUAGUGUAAACAAACCUAUCAUCUGAUAGGGCUGGGUUAAAAAAAAAAUUAAAUUAAUUUUCUUUUGAAUGGCUUGACUAAUAAAAUCCUUAAAUUGAUUCAUUUAGUAGAAUCUUUAAAAACUGCGGAAGCACUUAUGCCCCUUUUCCACCGGCUUGGCUCUACUCUGCUUGCUUUGCAAGCUUUUCCACCAGCUUUUUUUCGAGGCUGGCCCUGCUUUUAACGUCCCUGCUGCGGAGCAGGGCCAGCCGGGCCGGUCCUGCUUUCGUGGGUGGCGCAAGCUUCGCUCCUGUUCACUGAUUGGCCGAGGGCGUGGUCAGAUGUAGCAGCAAAGAGAGAAGAAAAAGGAAAAGUGCAACAUUUCAAACUGCAACACGGAAGUGAUGGAAGUUACAAGCAAGUGGUGAACAAAGAUGCCGGCUUUUCUUUGCAUCGGAUUUUAAUAUUCAGUGGCAGCUCGAGGGAACAGUUAGGAAUAAGUCAUUUUUGUCAACGCAACAGAGGGAAUGGAAACCCUCGUUAGCCGCUUUGGAACCCGACGCAGCCCUACGCCGCAGCUGCUCUCCAGCCAAGUGAGGGAACAGAAGAAGAGGAACAUGGCUGACACAAUGGUGAACGAUGAUGAGAAACAUCAGAACAACAACUGGAUCUCCUUCAGGAGGAAGCAGCUACCAGCACUGAGAUGGCAGAUCUCCAUGGAGAAGAGUUGACACAAACAAAAGAUAAACAAAUGCUGUUGUGCUCUCAAAGAACAAAGUCUCUUUUUUUAUACUCACUCCAUACAUUAUUGCAAGACGACUACCCACACAGCCACAGUUGCCCCUGAA